rnacentral:lncRNA from 1 species
CAGGCCGCCCCGGGGUGGGGCCACGUGGCUUCAGACCAGAGAGCGGAGCUACCUUGGCCCAAGCGCUGCAGCUGCCUGAACCCCCGGGCUUCGCAGCCUUGCUUGUUUUCUCUGAACCGCAAUAGGAUGGUGUUCGCAGCGAUUCAAAGGGUGGCACUGGGUUGGACGUUUUGGUUACGAGCCAGCCUAUUCCCACAUUGUACGUGAAUGUUUAA